rnacentral:rRNA from 1 species
GAUGAACGCUGGCGGCGUGCCUAAUACAUGCAAGUCGAGCGAACAGACGAGGAGCUUGCUCCUCUGACGUUAGCGGCGGACGGGUGAGUAACACGUGGAUAACCUACCUAUAAGACUGGGAUAACUUCGGGAAACCGGAGCUAAUACCGGAUAAUAUAUUGAACCGCAUGGUUCAAUAGUGAAAGACGGUUUUGCUGUCACUUAUAGAUGGAUCCGCGCCGCAUUAGCUAGUUGGUAAGGUAACGGCUUACCAAGGCAACGAUGCGUAGCCGGACUGAGCGCGGAGUCGGCCACACUGGAAGUGAGACACGGUCCAGACUCCUACGGGAGGCAGCAGUAGGGAAUCUUCCGCAAUGGGCGAAAGCCUGACGGAGCAACGCCGCGUGAGUGAUGAAGGUCUUCGGAUCGUAAAACUCUGUUAUUAGGGAAGAACAAAUGUGUAAGCAACUAUGCACGUCUUGACGGUACCUAAUCAGAAAGCCACGGCUAACUACGUGCCAGCCGCCGCCGUAA